CAUUUGGGAGGGGGGUCCCUCAGCCCAGAUUGCAAGAGGGCCAGGCCAGGCCGAGGGACCCCACUGGUGCACA
rnacentral:pre_miRNA from 1 species